ensembl:snoRNA
AGUGCACACAAAACCCAAAGAUUGUUAACUUGCCAUGUAACAAUCUUGUCUGGUGUGCACAUAUUAUUAGCACCUUGUCGCCUUUCAAGAGCUGAUGUGCCUGUGAAAGUGAAAUCAAAGGUCCUACAUAC